GAUGAACGCUGGCGGCGUGCCUAAUACAUGCAAGUCGAGCGAAGCGGGGACGGGGGAGUAACACGUGGAUAACCUCCCAUAAGACUGGGAUAAAUUCGGGAAACCGGAGAUAACACGGAAACUUAUAGUUGGAUAUGCGCUGCAUUAGCAAGUUGGUCAGGUAACGGCUUACCAAGGCAACGAUGUAUAGCCGACCUGUGAGGGUGAUCGGCCACACUGGGACUGGGACAGGGUCCAGACUCCUACGGGAGACAGCAUUAUGUGAUCUUCCGCAAUGGGCGAAAGCCUUACUGAUCGACGCCGCGUGAGUUAUGCAGGUCUUCGGAUCGUAAAACUCUGUUAUUAGAGAAGCGGUACCUAAUCAGAAAGCCACGGCUAACUACGUGCCAGCAGCCGCGGUAAUUC
rnacentral:rRNA from 1 species